rnacentral:rRNA from 1 species
UUUUGACCGUGCAAAGGUAGCGCAAUCACUUGUCUUUUAAAUGAAGACCUGUAUGAAUGGCCAAACGAGGGCUUAACUGUCUCCCUUUUCAAGUCAGUGAAAUUGAUCUGCCCGUGCAGAAGCGGGCAUACACAUACAAGACGAGAAGACCCUUUGGAGCUUAAGGUACAAACCCACCCAUGUUAAACAACUACUUUAAAAGCAUAAACCUAAUGGAAAAUGGAGUUUUACCUUCGGUUGGGGCGACCACNGAGAAAAAANGAUCCUNCGANUGGACUGGGACUACAANCCUAAUACCAAGAAAGACAUUUCUAAGUCACAGAAAAUCUGACCAACUAUGAUCCGGCUACCAAAGCCGAUCAACGAACCAAGUUACCCUAGGGAUAACAGCGCAAUCCUCUCCCAGAGUCCAUAUCGACGAGAGG